rnacentral:ncRNA from 1 species
GGUCAAGUGAAUAAGUGCAUACGGUGGAUGCCUUGGCAGUCAGAGGCGAUGAAAGACGUGAUAGCCUGCGAUAAGCUUCGGGGAGGUGGCAAAUAACCUUUGAUCCGGAGAUCUCUGAAUGGGGAAACCCACUUAGCAUAAGCUAGGUAUCUUACACUGAAUACAUAGGUGUAAGAGGCGAACCGGGAGAACUGAAACAUCUAAGUACCCCGAGGAAAAGAAAUCAACCGAGAUUCCCUAAGUAGUGGCGAGCGAACGGGGAGCAGCCCUUAAGCUUCUUUGAUCUUAAUAGAACGCUCUGGAAAGUGCGGCCAUAGUGGGUGAUAGCCCCGUAUAUGAAAAGGUCUUAGAAGUGAAAUCGAGUAGGACGGGGCACGUGAAACCUUGUCUGAACAUGGGGGGACCAUCCUCCAAGGCUAAAUACUACUGACUGACCGAUAGUGAACCAGUACCGUGAGGGAAAGGCGAAAAGAACCCCUGUGAGGGGAGUGAAAUAGAACCUGAAACCGUAUGCAUACAAGCAGUGGGAGCAGACUUUGUUCUGUGACUGCGUACCUUUUGUAUAAUGGGUCAGCGACUUAUAUUCAGUGGCGAGCUUAACCGAAUAGGGGAGGCGUAGGGAAACCGAGUCUUAAUAGGGCGUUUAGUCGCUGGGUAUAGACCCGAAACCGGGCGAUCUAUCCAUGAGCAGGUUGAAGGUGCCGUAACAGGCACUGGAGGACCGAACCCACUCCCGUUGAAAAGGUAGGGGAUGACUUGUGGAUAGGAGUGAAAGGCUAAUCAAGCUCGGAGAUAGCUGGUUCUCCUCGAAAGCUAUUUAGGUAGCGCCUCACGUAUCACUCCAGGGGGUAGAGCACUGUUUCGGCUAGGGGGUCAUCCCGACUUACCAAACCGAUGCAAACUCCGAAUACCUGGAAGUGCAGCGUGGGAGACACACGGCGGGUGCUAACGUCCGUCGUGAAAAGGGAAACAACCCAGACCGUCAGCUAAGGUCCCAAAGUUCUAGUUAAGUGGGAAACGAUGUGGGAAGGCUUAGACAGCUAGGAGGUUGGCUUAGAAGCAGCCACCCUUUAAAGAAAGCGUAAUAGCUCACUAGUCGAGUCGGCCUGCGCGGAAGAUGUAACGGGGCUCAAACUAGACACCGAAGCUACGGGUUCACACUAUGUGUGAGCGGUAGAGGAGCGUUCUGUAAGCCUGUGAAGGUGAGUUGAGAAGCUUGCUGGAGGUAUCAGAAGUGCGAAUGCUGACAUGAGUAACGACAAUGGGAGUGAAAAACUCCCACGCCGAAAGACCAAGGUUUCCUGCGCAACGUUAAUCGACGCAGGGUGAGUCGGCCCCUAAGGCGAGGCAGAAAUGCGUAGUCGAUGGGAAGCAGGUUAAUAUUCCUGCACUUCUAAUUACUGCGAUGGAGGGACGGAGAAGGCUAGGCCAGCACGGCGUUGGUUGUCCGUGUUUAAGGUUGUAGGCUGAGAUUUUAGGCAAAUCCGGAAUCUCAAGGCCGAGAGCUGAUGACGAGCACUCUUUUAGAGAGCGAAGUGGUUGAUGCCAUGCUUCCAGGAAAAGCUUCUAAGCUUCAGGUAAUUAGGAACCGUACCCCAAACCGACACAGGUGGUCGGGUAGAGAAUACCAAGGCGCUUGAGAGAACUCGGGUGAAGGAACUAGGCAAAAUGGCACCGUAACUUCGGGAGAAGGUGCGCCGGUGAGGGUGAAGUAUUUACUGCGUAAGCCCACGCCGGUCGAAGAUACCAGGCCGCUGCGACUGUUUAUUAAAAACACAGCACUCUGCAAACACGAAAGUGGACGUAUAGGGUGUGACGCCUGCCCGGUGCCGGAAGGUUAAUUGAUGGGGUUAGCGCAAGCGAAGCUCUUGAUCGAAGCCCCGGUAAACGGCGGCCGUAACUAUAACGGUCCUAAGGUAGCGAAAUUCCUUGUCGGGUAAGUUCCGACCUGCACGAAUGGCGUAACGAUGGCGGCGCUGUCUCCACCCGAGACUCAGUGAAAUUGAAAUCGCUGUGAAGAUGCAGUGUAUCCGCGGCUAGACGGAAAGACCCCGUGAACCUUUACUAUAGCUUUGCACUGGACUUUGAAUUUACUUGUGUAGGAUAGCUGGGAGGCUUUGAAGCG